rnacentral:tRNA from 1 species
AUUGAUUUGGCAGAUUAGUGCUUUAAAUUUAGAAUUUAAUUAUAUAUUAAGUAAAAAUAUAAUCAAUA